GUUAGGGUAUCGGCGCGAAGUGCCAGGGAAGUCGGUGUGAGUCCGACACAGGCCCGCUACGGUGUUCCGCGGCGCGUUGUGAUCGAUGCGCCACGGUCAGUCCGAAUACCGGCUUCGCGUUGCCAACACAC
rfam:Mycobacterium kumamotonense strain Roo Mkuma_contig000010, whole genome shotgun sequence.